GGUAUCCCUACCCUUCUUUAUAUAUUCCACGGGACGGGGUUCUUAGUAGGAUUACAAAGUAGAAGUCCUAAUAGUAUUACAAGGUAUGAGUCCUAAUAGGAUUACAGUGGAAUCCUAUUAGGAAUCAGACUUCUUUUCCCCCACGGGUAGCUUCCUUGCGGUACCCAGGGGAUCUAUCCCUGACAAUCCCCCAGCUCUUCAUAGCCGAGUACUGCAGAUAUUUCGAGUACUUCUGAAGUAAUCUUCGGCUUCUUCUGAAACUCCAUCUUAAAGGUCUUCUUCGAGUACUUCCUUGGUUGCAUCGAGGUUGUGAGGUGCUCAUGCCCCGAAUAGCUUCAAGUCUUCUUUUGUAUGGUGUGCGAUGGAAAAUCGCACUCCAUAUGGAGUAGCCCCAAGGCUUAGGUUAAAUCGAAGAAUCAAGCUGAUGGUCAAAUUAGUUUUAAAUCUUCUUUUCUUAUCCUUCGAGUAUAUUCGAAAAAAUAAAUAGUCGAUGACACGUAUCCUGCUGUCCCUGAGCCUUGAAUCCAAAACCCUUAGGUUCGGAAAAAGGAUCCAAGAAUCAUGGCAUUGGUGUUACUCUGAAAUCCUCAGAAAAAACUCUUCACCUUCUGCAUAGUGAAAUUGAGCCUCCCGCUAGUUUAUUUAACCGCGCGGUGACUUAGGGUUUCUUCUGCACUCUCAGUCUUCAUAUGAGUCGUCUUCGAGUAGUUUUGCGACGUCCAGCCCUCGAGC
rnacentral:lncRNA from 1 species